GACCCAGCUGCGAGGAAGCCGAGGGCAGCAUGCGAGAGCGGCCGCGUCUCCAGCUGCCCUCAGCCAGGGGGGCCUGCUCUUCUGACCUGGCCCCGCCCCUUUCUGCUGUGUGCCCUUAAGCAAGGUAUUCACGUCUCUGAUUCCCUCCUCCGAAAAGUGGCAUGUGGCUAGUUUAUUCCUUUCUGAUAUUUUGAUUCCGGGGAUUGAACCUGCGAGGGUGGCCUGAGGCCUGCGCCUAAGCAACUCCAUUUUAAAAUCUCCAGUUUGACCUGCCGUGUCACCAGGCACACCACAGAGCCCCCCAGGGUGGCCUCAGACAAGUCACUUCCCCUCACCCCCAUAAAGACAGUGAAGCCCGGGGCAGGCUGUCCUCGCCUGAUAAGAGGGAAAGGCCAGAAGAUCCUGGUGGUGACCACCAGACCAGAUGCUUCUGACCUCAGGGUAGUAAAUGAUGUCACUGAGAAAUCCACGGUAGUUGAUAAGGAUUGAAAGGGGGGGAUCAAAAAAGAAACCCCAAAAUUUAGUAUGACUAAUACAGCAAAUGAGCAGGGAUUCAGCCAGCCGGAACAAGGAUGCACUGCAGCUGGAGAGCCCGAUGAGGACCUGACAUCCCAUCCCUUGUCAUCGUUCCUGAGCCUCUGCGUCAUCCUCACCGCCCUCAGACUCUACCGCCUCCUCUGGACCUUGGUGAGAGAGCGACUCCUCCCUACCACCCCCUCCUCAACCGGUCGUCCACUCCCCGCCAGGAAAAGCCCGCCUUGGUUCUGGACCUGGUCACGGCGGUCUGAGGUCUCACUGCGUUGCUUAAGGUCUAAGUUGCGAUCCUCCUGCCUCAGCCUCCCAUUUGUGAUUCUCCUGCCUCAGCGUCCCGAGCCACAGGGAUGACAGGCAUAACCAUGGUGCCUGGUUUAUGAAGUGUGUUCUGGGGUCAGAUGGAAAAGCCACACCUACAGUGUUUGCUAAGCACAUUGCCUGUGAGAGGUUUGUAUGAUAUCCUGACAGCACAUCUCCAUGCAGAGUGGCCAACAUUGAGUUCUAACAGCACCAAAUGUCAGUCCAACUACCUCAGCCAGCAGACUUGUGGAAGUUUCUGGAAAUGCCCUGACUCCUCUUCCAACAAGCUCCCUGGCACAGAGGGUCAUAUGAAGGCCAUUCAAUGACGGGGAGACAAACCUAGGAAUUCUUACAAAGAGUCCAUUAGGAAGGCUGAUAAUCCAGCCUCGAGGCUGAGGAAGUCAGGGAGGCUGUGUUGGGGACUCCGCGAAGGUAAGUGUGGUGGUGCCCCAUGGCGGCUCCCCGCACCUGGACAGCCGCCAACCACAGUCAUGAAAAUUCCUCCUGAAUUUUCCAUCUCGAAAGACAAAAGUCGGUUACCUUUGGAGAGGGCUGCCAUGGGUGAGGCAGAUGGGUGGUUUGGUGACUCACUGUCGACUCAGCGUUCUGCAAAUACCACAGUCACGUGGGCCGGCUCCACUUACCGCCUCGAAUCUUCUGUGUGCCGACUCCCACGGCCGGAGGCUGACUACCAGGAAGCCCGGUGGCCUUUCCACAGGCACCCCUUGUUAGCCACGGCACAACUGUCCACGGGCACGUUGGGGAUGGCCCUGGGAUUUAGAGCUGCCCAGGGGGGUGGCAUCAAGGAUAUGGCAAUGCCACCUCCAAAGAUCAAGGGAGACACUGAAACCUUCAUCUCUCACCUCUGGGAGGCUGAUUCCAAUCUCCACAGCAUGGGACCAGGAAGACACCUGCCUUUUGCAGGGUUGGGGGUACCAGGACUGAACCCAGCAGCACUUGCCCACUGAGCCCCAUUUCCAGCCCUAUUCUGUGUUUUAUUUAGAGACAGGGUCUCACUGAGCUGCUCAGGGCCUCACUGUGGCUGAGGCCGGCUUUGAACUCGCCAUCCUCCUGCCUCAGCCUCCCGAGCUCUGGGAGGACAGGCGUGCGUCACCGUGCCUGGCAAAACACCUGCUUUUGAGGUGGUGUUGGCUCGGGGUUCCUAGCACAAAGCCUGGUGCCCACAGUGAGUGCCCGGGUGCUGGACGGAUGGAUGAGCUCAGGAACCCAUGGGUGUCUGACAACCCAGGGUCCUCAGGCUUCUCUGUCCACCAUUCCUUCUCUCUUUCCCUUGCCAGGUUACAGGGGGACCUCAGACUUGCCUCUGACCCACGCCACUGAAUCCCCAGCCCCUGUGCCGGAGCCCACUCACCAUCCU